rnacentral:rRNA from 1 species
GACGAACGCUGGCGGCGUGCUUAACACAUGCAAGUCGAACGGAAAGUCCCUGCUUUUGUGGGGUGCUCGAGUGUCGAACGGGUGAGUAUCACGUGAGUAACCUUCCCUUGACUUUUGUAUAACUGCAUGAAACUGUGGCUAAUACCGGGUAGGAGCUCCUGCUGCAUUGUGUGGGUUGGAAAGUGUCGGCGGUUGGGGAUGGACUCGCGGUUUAUCAGCUUGUUGGUGGGGUAGUGGCUUACCAAGGCUUUGACUGGUAGCCGGCAUGAGAGGGUGAACGGCGACAUGGGGACUGAGAUACGGCCCAGACUCCUACGGGAGGCAGCAGUGGGGAACAUUGCAGAAUGGCCGGAAGCCUGAUGCAGCAACGCCGCGUGCGGGAUGACGGCUUUCGGGUUGUAAACCGCUUUAGCAUGUGAUGAAGCGUGAGUGACGGUAAUGGGUAAAGAAGCACCGGCUAACUACGUG